AUAGCGUAUAUUAAAGUUGUUGCAGUUAAAAAGCUCGUAGUUGAACUUCAGGCCUGACCGGGUGGUCCGCCUAACGGCGUGUACUGUCUGGCCGGGCCUUACCUCUUGGUGAGCCGGCAUGCCCUUCACUGGGUGUGUCGGGGAACCAGGACCUUUACCUUGAGAAAAUUAGAGUGUUCAAAGCAGGCUUAUGCUCGAAUACAUUAGCAUGGAAUAAUAAAAUAGGACGUGCGGUUCUAUUUUGUUGGUUUCUAGAGUCGCCGUAAUGAUUAAUAGGGAUAGUUGGGGGCAUUAGUAUUCAGUUGCUAGAGGUGAAAUUCUUGGAUUUACUGAAGACUAACUACUG
rnacentral:rRNA from 1 species